GGAGAGGUGCCGGAGUGGUCGAUCGGGGCAGUCUCGAAAACUGUUGAGCUCGUAAGGGUUCCGAGGGUUCGAAUCCCUCCCUCUCCGCCA
rnacentral:tRNA from 2 species